UUGGUGCUGAUGAUGGUGUUAAAUAUACUUUGAGUAAUUGCUAUGAAAAGAUUUCAAUCUGAAGCACUUC
rnacentral:snoRNA from 1 species